rnacentral:rRNA from 1 species
CUCCCCGAAAUAGCUUUAGGGCUAGCCUCAAGGUGAGAGAUACGGAGGUAGAGCACUGAAUGUCCUAGGGGGUAUUGCACCUACCGAAGACUAUCAAACUCCGAAUGCCGUCAUCUUAUACUUGGGAGUCAGACUGUGGGUGAUAAGAUUCAUAGUCGAAAGGGCAACAGCCCAGAUCGUCAGCUAAGGUCCCUAAAUGUAAGUUAAGUGGUAAAGGAUGUGGGAUUGCACAGACAACCAGGAUGUUGGCUUAGAAGCAGCCACUCAUUCAAAGAGUGCGUAAUAGCUCACUGGUCGAGUGAUCCUGCGCCGAAGAUUUCCGGGGCUAAAACUUACUACCGAAGCUACGGCAUCAGUAAUGAUGGGUAGGGGAGCUUCCCAUACGGGUUGAAGCAUGACCGUAAGGACAUGUGGACAGUAUGGGAGUGAGAAUGUUGGCAUGAGUAGCGAGAUGUGGGUGAGAAUCCCACAGGCCGUAAACCCAAGGUUUCCAGGGGAAGGUUCGUCCGCCCUGGGUUAGUCGGGACCUAAGCUGAGGCCGAAAGGCGUAGGUGAUGGACAACAGGUUGAUAUUCCUGUAC